AUUGAACGCUGGCGGCAUGCCUUACACAUGCAAGUCGAACGGUAACAGGUUAAGCUGACGAGUGGCGAACGGGUGAGUAAUGUAUCGGAACGUGCCCAGUCGUGGGGGAUAACUGCUCGAAAGAGCAGCUAAUACCGCAUACGACCUGAGGGUGAAAGCGGGGGAUCGCAAGACCUCGCGCGAUUGGAGCGGCCGAUAUCAGAUUAGGUAGUUGGUGAGGUAAAGGCUCACCAAGCCGACGAUCUGUAGCUGGUCUGAGAGGACGACCAGCCACACUGGGACUGAGACACGGCCCAGACUCCUACGGGAGGCAGCAGUGGGGAAUUUUGGACAAUGGGCGCAAGCCUGAUCCAGCCAUGCCGCGUGCGGGAAGAAGGCCUUCGGGUUGUAAACCGCUUUUGUCAGGGAAGAAAAGGUUCUGGCUAAUACCUGUGACUCAUGACGGUACCUGAAGAAUAAGCACCGGCUAACUACGUG
rnacentral:rRNA from 1 species